rnacentral:rRNA from 1 species
GACAGAGGUGCCAAGCGUUAGGCGGAAUCACUGGGCUUAAAGCGUGUGUAGGUGGAUGUCUAAGUACCUUGUGAAAUCCCACAGCUCAACUGUGGAACUGCUCGGUAUACUGGACGUCUUGAGCCACUUAGGGGCUACCGGAACAAAUGGUGGAGCGGUGAAAUGCGUAGAUAUCAUUUGGAACGCCAAUGGUGAAAACAGGUAGCUGGGAGUGUGCUGACACUGAGACACGAAAGCCAGGGGAGCGAACGGG